rnacentral:rRNA from 1 species
GACGAACGCUGGCGGCGUGCUUAACACAUGCAAGUCGAACGGAAAGGCCCUGCUUUUGUGGGGUGCUCGAGUGGCGAACGGGUGAGUAACACGUGAGUAACCUGCCCUUGACUUUGGGAUAACUUCAGGAAACUGGGGCUAAUACCGGAUAGGAGCUCCUGCUGCAUGGUGGGGGUUGGAAAGUUUCGGCGGUUGGGGAUGGACUCGCGGCCUAUCAGCUUGUUGGUGGGGUAGUGGCUUACCAAGGCUUUGACGGGUAGCCGGCCUGAGAGGGUGACCGGCCACAUUGGGACUGAGAGACGGACCAGAAUCCUACGGGAGGCAGCAGUGGGGAAUAUUGCACAAUGGGCGGAAGCCUGAUGCAGCAACGCCGCGUGCGGGAUGACGGCCUUCGGGUUGUAAACCGCUUUCGCCUGUGACGAAGCGUGAGUGACGGUAAUGGGUAAAGAAGCACCGGCUAACUACGUG